rnacentral:lncRNA from 1 species
UCUAUUUGUCCAAUCACAAUCCACCAAACACAUAAAGGCUUCGUUUGGAAUUGCGGGGAGAUUGCGUUACGAGCGAUGGAAAAGUACGUUCAAAAAAUACCAUGUUUGUUUCCGUACGUAAUAUUGCGUUCCGCAUAUUACGAUGAGUUGGUUACGAUAUAUUUUUUGCAGUCCCACCGGAGAACGCAGAAACAUAUUCCUAUAUGCUUUUUUCUCAACUCCAUUUUAUCUAAUAGCGUUAGAUAGACAUCAAUGCCAAACUAAGCCAAAGCCAACUAUAACUUUAGGGCCCGUUU